CACGUUCCCUUCGUUUCUUUCACUUUCUUCUCCUUCCAUCGAGCCCUGCUCCACAUUUUCUCUCUCUUCUAAGCAACUUCACGUCUGUUUCUUUUGAGUUUUGAUGAUUAUUGUAGCACCUACAAUCCUUAUGCUCAGGGUUGUGAUCUCUGCCGCACAAAAUUGAAUGCUCGGAAUCUUAUAUCAGAUUAUGACUUUCGGAAUCUCAGAUCAGUAAGCUGAAACUCGACCAGAAGCAACGACAGUGGUCGAUGGUGCUUACAGUGAUGCAGAUGGUCAAAAGGGGGAAUGCUCUUCUAGUACCUUUUCCAGCGAGAUGAAAGGGAUGCUAGAGGAAAGCAUGCUUCAGAAGCAGUAACUUAGGGAAAUCCAGAAGAAUCAACCCCUUUUAUGGUUAGAAGGAGUUAGGUGUAAGAGUCGUGAUCAAAGAGGUGUUUCACCGCUGCUCUCCCCUGCCGUUUCAACCUCCGACAACAACUGCCUCUCUCAAUGCUGCCACCGAACAACAACUAUU